CAGUGGCAAUGAUGCGCCUUUUACUGCUAGUAGUAGUGAGCCCACCGUCAAAGUAGGUGACAUAUGCUUGCCUUCGUCAGAGUUUGAGGAAUGUUUUUCGUUCGAUGAAGACGAAGGCUUAAUUCCGAUCAGUGCCAAAGUGCGCGAAGAGAUUGCCCGCCAGGCGAUUAAAUUCUGGAACCUCACCAACAACGAUGCGGUCAGUGA
rnacentral:ribozyme from 1 species